GCGAAUAUAGAUAAAUGGUAUAUCAUUAUUUUUCCAAAUUAAAGUUGCGGGUUCGAGUCCCGUUUUUCGCU
rnacentral:tRNA from 1 species